CACAUUCCAACAUCUCAUGGCAUUGCUUCUCAAUUUCAUCCUUCUGUGCAUGUGGAUAUCGAUAAGGUCGGACCACUAUUGGAGUAGUUCCUAGCUCCAAGUUGAUGUGGUAAUCAUAAGUCCGGGCUGGAGGAAGCCCCUCGGGUUCUUGGAAUAUCGAUGUGAACUUUGUUAAAAGCUGGUUCAAUUCCACAUCAGAGUUUGUU
rnacentral:misc_RNA from 1 species